ensembl:lncRNA
CCUUCUGGAGGACUAGGGGCUGUGGCAUAAGAACUCCCCUCUCUCUCCCAGCCUGGCUGGGAGCCUGCUAGCCCGCAGCUUCCAGGGAAGCACUUCUGAGUCACAACAGCGUGAGCCUCUGUGUGUUAGCCUGUGUGAGUAUGAAAUCUGUGUCUGCAGGGAUGUGGAAACACACACAGCUCUCAAACACAGCCCUGUCCAGGACGCAGACAUUCUUCCAGCCUGUCCAAGAGCUCCUCAGAGCGGGAUGUCCAAGUCGAGGGCCUCUGCCCAAGCUUGUCCAGAGUGAGGGAUGGGAGAGCCAGGAAUCAGGGAAGACAUCUCCCCAACGAAGCCACACCUUCGCCACACCCCCGGCCCUUCCCCUGCUUUGGCU